rnacentral:rRNA from 1 species
UACGUAGGGUGCGAGCGUUAAUCGGAAUUACUGGGCGUAAAGCGUGCGCAGGCGGUGAUGUAAGGCAGUUGUGAAAUCCCCGGGCUCAACCUGGGAACUGCAUCUGUGACUGCAUCGCUGGAGUGCGGCAGAGGGGGAUGGAAUUCCGCGUGUAGCAGUGAAAUGCGUAGAUAUGCGGAGGAACACCGAUGGCGAAGGCAAUCCCCUGGGCCUGCACUGACGCUCAUGCACGAAAGCGUGGGGAGCAAACAGG